rnacentral:lncRNA from 1 species
UUCGCCUGUGUGGCCGAUGCGUCAGGAGCCCACUCAGCUGGUUGAUUGUCAGCUCCUCGUGACGUCAGUCUUGCUCCUCUUGUCCUAGCGGCCAUAUUUGCCAAAGUCUCGCCCUCCCUAUCGCUCAUCGCUUCCUAUUCAAAUGCCAAUCAUUAUUACGUUAUUUUAUAACAGAGUUACAGUACAGUUAAUAAUUUAAGUCAGAGUCUAACUAUGCAUAACCUAGCUACUCACUGUUAGGUUUUAAGUUCUAUCCUUGAUUAAACCUAUUGCUCUGAUACCAUAAAAUGUCACGCCCCAAA